rnacentral:lncRNA from 1 species
GUAUUGUCCAGACUUCCAUCAUUGUCAUUUAGAGGCUUCAUAGAUAGACAGUAGAGUUUUAGAAGUCUUCAUUUAUUUUGUUAAAUGUUUUAAAGACUAAAGUUGCCUUUUUAUGGCGAGUUGUAUAUAUUUUAUUAUACAGAGUUUUCUUUGGACUUAAAGUUUGUAUUUAAGUUUUAUGAACUUUUAUUUCAAUUUU